GUAGACGUGUAAGAAAAGCAACCAUCUCGACUAGGUUUAAACAGUAAAAUGAGUAUCAGAUAUAUUCCAAGUGAGCAAUGCUCAAACACAUAAAAUAUGCAGUAAAUUUUUAAAAUGGCUUUUUUGUGUGUACAAAAUGUAUAUAGCAGACACUUGAAAAGUAUGGAGAGAAGGCAGAUACGCCUGUACCUGCAAAUGCAUUUCUUCAAAACAUCUAUUUGUAUCUCAACAAUGGUCGCCUCUAAGUAGAAGAUAAUUUUCUCCUUUUUUAUGCUUCUUUCAGCUUUGCAAGUUUUGAAUAAUAUACAUAAUCACAAGAAAUGAAUAUAUUUUAAAAUUCCAUAGCGCAGACCCCACCUCUUUGAAAACUAGCGACAUAUUAGGUUUGGAUAUGAGCUGUCCCCCAAAAGCUCAUGUGUGAAACAUUACAAGAGGGUUUAGAGGUGAAGUGAUUGGAUUAUGAGAGUCAUAAUCACUGCAUGAAUCUGAUGUUGGGGAUUAACUGAGUGGUGACUAUAGGCAGGUAGGAUGUGUCUGGAGGAGGUGGGUUCCUGAGGGCAUCCUUUGGGGUUGAUAUUUUGUCCUUGUUAAGCAGAGAUCUCUAUCUCUAUCCCUCUCUCUCCCCCUCCCCCCUCUCUCUUUCUCUCUCUCUCUCUCUCUCUCUCUCUGUCUCUCCCUUUCUCUCUCUCUCUCUCCUUUCCCUGAUGCCAAGUUCCC
rnacentral:lncRNA from 1 species